UACGUAGGCAGCGAGCGUUGUUCGGAUUUACUGGGCGUAAAGGGUGUGUAGGCGGUUGUUUAAGUUUGGUGUGAAAUCUCCCGGCUCAACUGGGAGGGUGCGCCGAAUACUGAAUGACUUGGAGUGCGGGAGAGGAGAGUGGAAUUCCUGGUGUAGCGGUGAAAUGCGUAGAUAUCAGGAGGAACACCGGUGGUGUAGACGGCUCUCUGGACCGUAACUGACGCUGAGACACGAAAGCGUGGGUAGCAAACAGG
rnacentral:rRNA from 1 species